rnacentral:rRNA from 1 species
CCAAUAGCGUAUAUUAAAGUUGUUGCAGUUAAAAAGCUCGUAGUUGAAUUUCGGGAUCAGUACGCUGGUCGUGCCUCUGGUAUGUACUGGUGUCACUGAUUCCUCCCUUCUGACGAACCAUUAUGCCAUUCACCUGGUGUGGUGGGAAAUCAGGACUGUUACUUUGAAAAAAUUAGAGUGUUUAAAGCAGGCUCACGCUUGAAUACAUUAGCAUGGAAUAAUGAAAUAGGACGUUGAUCCUAUUUUGUUGGUUUCUAGGAUUGACGUAAUGAUUAAUAGGGAUAGUUGGGGGCAUUAGUAUUCAAUUGUCAGAGGUGAAAUUCUUGGAUUUAUUGAAGACUAACUACUGCGAAAGCAUUUGCCAAGGAUGUUUUCAUUAAUCAAGAACGAAAGUUAGGGGAUCGAAGACGAUCAGAUACCGUCGUAGUCUUAACCAUAAACUAUGCCGACUAGGGAUCGGAUGAUGUUAAUUUUUUUAAUGACUCAUUCGGCGCCUUACG